GGUUUCACCAUUUUAGCCAGGAUGGUCUCAAUCUUCUGACCCUGUGAUUCACCCACCUCAGCCUCCCAAAGUGUUGGGAUUACAGGCGUGAGCCACCGCGCCCGGCCCAGUGUGGCAUUGUUUUUAACAGAGUGUCUUUGAAAAUAAAGGCUUUUAAAAAUAUAAAUAUAGCAUAGAAACUAAAAGCAAUAUCAAAUACCUAGAAAGAUGUCAAAUGCCUGGAAAAGCUUACCUGAUUUCAGAAUUAUUUUUAGGUGGAAAGGAUGAAGGAAAGAUAAUUUUUUAAUGUAUAAGUUAAGCCUGGUGCAGUGAUGAAUGUGUAUAGUCUCAGCUACUCUGGAUGUGGGAGGAUUGCUUGAGCUCAAGAAUUUGAGGCUGUAAUCAUACCUGUGACUAGCCACUGCACUCCAGCCUGGGCAACAUACCAAGACCCCACCUCUAAAAAUCAAUCAAUCAAUCAGCUUAUACAGUAUAUUAAAACAUCCCUCCUUAGAAGAGAUUUAUGGGCAGUUGUUAGGGAGGGCGGGCCUGUUUCCGGGUGGCACGUGGGGCUUGAGGCCGAGAACGGCUCUUGCUGCCACCAACAUGGAGACCUCGUACCGUGUCCCGUUCUUAGUGCUCGAAUGUCCCAACCUGAAGCUGAAGAAGCCGCCCUGGUUGCACAUGCCGUCGGCCAUGACUGUGUAUGCUCUGGUGGUGGUGUCUUACUUCCUCAUUACCGGAGGAAUAAUUUAUGAUGUUAUUGUUGAACCUCCAAGUGUUGGCUCUAUGACUGAUGAACAUGGGCAUCAGAGGCCAGUAGCUUUCUUGGCCUACAGAGUAAAUGGACAAUAUAUUAUGGAAGGACUUGCAUCCAGCUUCCUAUUUACAAUGGGAGGUUUAUGUUUCAUAAUCCUGGACCGAUCGAAUGCACCAAAUAUCCCAAAACUUAAUAGAUUUCUUCUUCUGUUCAUUGGAUUCGUCUGUGUCCUACUGAGUUUUUUCAUGGCUAGAGUAUUCAUGAGAAUGAAACUGCCAGGCUAUCUGAUGGGUUAGAGUGCCUUUGAGAAGAAAUCAGUGGAUACUGGAUUUGCUCCUGUCAAUGAAGUUUUAAAGGCUGUACCAAUCCUCCAGUAUGACAUGUGGAAAAGAAUGAAGAGCAGCAGUAAAAGAAAUAUCUAGUGAAAAAACAGGAAGCGUAUUGAAGCUUGCAUUAGAAUUUCUUCUUGGUAUUAAAGAGACAAGUUUAUCACAGUAUUUUUUUUUUCCUGCUGACCUAUUGCUAUACCAACAAUGUUGAGUGGCAUUUUCUUUUUAGUUUUUCAUUUCUUAAAGAAAAGAGACUCCAUAUCUACAACUAUAAUAUCAAAUAAAGUGAUUGUUUUUUACAACCCCCUUAACAUUUUUUGGAGAUGACAUUUCUGAUUUUCAGAAAUUAACAUAAAAUCCAGAAGCAAGAUUCCAUAAGCUGAGAACUGUGGACAGCUGAUCAGCUUUACCUGUGGUGCUUUGCCUUUAACUAGAGUGUGUGAUGGUAGAUUAUUUCAGAUAUGUAUGUAAGACUGUUUCCUGAACAAUAAGAUGAAUGAAAGGAGCAGAAAUAAAUACUUUUUCUAAUUAAAAAAAAAAAA